rnacentral:rRNA from 1 species
GAUGAACGCUGGCGGCGUGCCUAAUACAUGCAAGUCGAACGAGGUGCUUUUGUAGUAAUACGAAAGUGUCCUAGUGGCGAACGGGUGAGUAACGCGUUGGUGACCUACCCCAAAGUGUGGGAUAACAGUUCGAAAGGAUUGCUAAUACCGCAUGUGGUCUUCGGAUUUAGAAACUGAUGACUAAAGGAGUAAUCCGCUUUGGGAGGGACCUGCGUCCCAUCAGCUAGUUGGUGAGGUAAUGGCUCACCAAGGCUACGACGGGUAGGGGACCUGAGAGGGUGACCCCCCACAAUGGAACUGAAACACGGUCCAUACACCUACGGGUGGCAGCAGUAGGGAAUAUUGCACAAUGGGCGAAAGCCUGAUGCAGCAACGCCGCGUGUGCGAUGAAGGCCUUCGGGUCGUAAAGACACUUUUCUGAGGGAGUGAGCAAGGACAGUACCUCAGGAAGUAACUACUCGGCUAACUACGUGCCAGCAGCCGCGGUAAU